rnacentral:rRNA from 1 species
GACAGAGGCCUCGAGCGUUAGGCGGAAUCACUGGGCUUAAAGCGCGUGUAGGCGGAUCGUUAAGUGCCUUGUGAAAUCCUGCGGCUCAACCGCAGAACUGCUGGGCAUACUGGGCGAUCUUGGGCCACUCAGGGGUCACUGGAACAAGCGGUGGAGCGGUGAAAUGCGUAGAUAUCAGGAGGGAACACCGGUGGGUGAAGGCGGGUCUCUGGGCCG